GUCUAACUGACGAGUCCCGAAUAGGACGGUACGCGCGUUCUGGAU
rnacentral:hammerhead_ribozyme from 1 species